AAUCUUCAUUGUGUGCACAGAAACACAGCCAGAGGCUGGCUGGCUUCCUUUGGAACCUCUGCUCUUUAGCCACCAGCUGUCUGUCUUCUGAUGGGAAUCCUGCCUCUAGUGACCUCCUUACCUCAGUAGAUAAUUUGUCUACCUGUUAAUGAUUCUGCUUCUUGGACUACGUCCCAGUAGAUGCCAUGCUUUCAGCCUGAUGAAUGUCAAAAUGGCUGAACACUGUUGAAAAGAUGCCUCAUCACUGAGUCAUCUUUGCAAGUACCUUGUGGAAGAGCAAGUGACCACAAAUGUGAACGUGGAGACACUGGCUGUGAAGAUACACAUUUAUUUCUCUGCCUACAAGAAAGAAUAGAAAUAAAGAAACCAAAGUGAACGUGGGCUUUCUGAAGAAUAAUUUUCUUUCAUGCAGUCUGCAGAUACUGAAGUCUGCUGUCUCCUCCCCCGCCACCUCCCCCUUGCCAGUAACUGCAGCUGCUGAGAUACAGUUGAGUUUGUGGUACAACCAGUUUCCUCACCUUUACACACUGAACUGUCAGUCUUUUCUCCUCCGGAGUGUACUUGUCUUGGGCAACUGUCAAUUAACAUCCCUCCCUGGCUCCCUUACUGCUCCAGGCUCUUCCUUCAUUGCUCUGUGCAGGCCUCACAGAGCCCAACCCCAGCCAAGUUAGACUUCAGUCAGAGAAUCAGAAACAAAACCAGUGUCUGCCAGGAGACACUCUCUCUGCCUGGGAAUUCCUCCCCAUUGGGAGAAGUCUAUGUCAUCUCCCUCCACCUACGGUGGGAAAGUGUUGAGUUUGUUAGGCUGAGUGAGGGAUUAUGGCCAGGAACAUUGGUCACCUUAGAGCAUCCACACUGGAGGGUAUGUUCUCAGCAGAGGUGAUGACUGCCUGAUAGCUGUGUAUUAUGGAGUUCUCUCCCUUGACCCUCCCCAUCUAUAUGCUCUGUCCCAACCCCACAGAUUCAUGUGUUUGAACACCUGGUCCCCAGCUGGUAGCACUGUUUUGGGAAAUUACUUAAUCUGUGGGAGGUGAGGCAUGCCUGAUAGGGUACAUUGUUAGAGGUGGGUCUUUGAGGGUUAGGAUCUGGCCUUACUUUCUCUUCUGUUUUCUGCUUUCUUCUACAUCAUCACAGACUUCUAAUGCUUCAGAGCCAUCCUGCCAUGUCUGCCCCACCCUGAUGGACUAAAAUUUCUGAAACCAGGAGUCAAAUUAAACUUUUUUUCCCCUCUUC
rnacentral:lncRNA from 1 species